GCCGGCAUGGACAUCCUGGCCUACUUCACCGGCGAAUAUGGCCCCACGGCGCCCCGUCUUCUCUUGAAGGUCGCUGCCGAUGCCAGAGGAUUCGUGCUUGCCGGCAUCCAGAUAUGCCCCAGACGGGCAGCGGCCUCUUCAAUCUCAUGGAUCUUUCUCCUUUACCGGAGAAACACUCAACCUGAUAAAUCUUCUCAGUUUUGAAGUUAAAGUUAAUCCACAGAGUUUGCGAAUAAAACAUUCAUAGUUGAUCAGAAGCUUUUACUGAAGGGACAUCAGGAGGAUGUGUCCUUCCAAGCAUCGGAUGGAUCACUACUGAGAAAUGGAACAAGAUUUCUUAUUGGCAAUCUAAAUCUCACGAUGAAGUCGAUAAUUUGAAGAGAGAUGGUGCAGCUCUAAAUACGGAUUAUUUUUGUGAAGAGGAACAAGAUACAUACGUAUGGAAACACGGCUACAAUUUCGGUUUUUUUAAACUUGAGUCUCUGGUUGUAUCUGCAUCUGGUGUCACUAACGGAGGUUUGUCUGUUCAGAGCAUCUAUCUUAUAUACAUGUUCUUCUGAUUGCCGGAGAAGCCCACACCAAUAAGUUGAUUACCGAUAUGUAUGCAUUAUUACAUCUAUUGUGACCAACAUGCGAAAGAUGUAGCUGAACAUCAUUUGAACAUAUUCCAUGGAAUUAGGGACUAAAUCUAACACUUUGUUUCAGGCCAAAGAGUAGAGUUCCAUGUGGGUUAAUAUCGUGGUCAACAGCAAGGCAUCUCACCACAUACCGGAUUUGUGAUACCGGAGCACCGAAUCUCCAGUGGAUAGCGUGCCGGUUAUCUGGCGUCUAGCAAGGGCUGUUGGGGCGCCUCUUUGUCAAAGAAACGAAGUCCUCACAGUAGGGCACACCUACAAAAACACCAUGGCGCCAUUCCUCUGUUGGUCUUCUGCUACGGGUGCGUCGCUUGGAAGACCACCAUGUCGAAGCUGGGUCAUGGUGGUCACUCCGAGGGACAUAUGCAGCUUGGCUUCAAGUCCAAAGUAUCAAAAGAGAAGCAACUUGCAUACUUCAUUGGUCAAGAAUGUCUCACGCAAGUCUCAUCCUUGGAAAGUCCUUGCAUGUAUUGGCCAGAUUUGGGAGAAUAGAGACCAGCAAACACGACAGAAGUGAGAAAAAUACAAUGAAGGGAUCCACACCAGCUAACUGCAUAGACCAGACUGAAAGAAGGUUCAGUUAACACUACCAUAUCAAUCUAGCUUCACAAACAGAAGACAAGAGAAUAGAAGCAGACCGAACAUACAUCUUCUGUGCAUUUAAUCCACUAGGUUCAGUCGCCAAAAGUAACAUAUAGUACCCCUACCUAUAUAUCCUGCUAUCAGUGUGUUGUAAAAUAAGUAAUAUAAUAAUUUUUUCUAGGUUUUCAUGGGUGGUGUUCAUGUGUUCCUGUGCCCAUUGGGUCUUCAGACCUCCUCCAGCACACAUGUAAGAAUGCACUCAUAUUUACAGGUACAAAAUUAUGCCAUGACACCAAGCCUCUAGAAACGAAAAUAUAGUAGCUGCCGAAUUCACCAUCGUUGGCCCCUGGGAUUUGGGAUUUCUGCUUGCAGGAAACGAUGAAUUCAGCUGUUGUUAUGUCUAUGGUUUACCAUUUUCUUUCCCUAUUCUCUUUCAUUCAUGUUGUAUAUGGCUUAAUCAAUUAGUCUAAUCAAUGCUACCUUUUAUAUAUUUUCCUCUUUCAA